rnacentral:rRNA from 1 species
GGUUAAGCGACUAAGCGUACACGGUGGAUGCCCUGGCAGUCAGAGGCGAUGAAGGACGUGCUAAUCUGCGAAAAGCGACGGUAAGGUGAUAUGAACCGCUACAGCCGUCGAUGUCCGAAUGGGGAAACCCAGUGUGUUUAGACACACUAUCGUUAACUGAAUACAUAGGUUAACGAGGCGAACCGGGGGAACUGAAACAUCUAAGUACCCCGAGGAAAAGAAAUCAACCGAGAUUCCCCCAGUAGCGGCGAGCGAACGGGGAGCAGCCCAGGACCUGAAUCAGCUUGUGCAUCAGUGGAAGCGUCUGGAAAGUCGCGCGAUACCGGGUGACAGCCCCGUACACGAAGAUGCACAGGUUGUGAGUCCGACGAGUAGGGCGGGACACGUGGUAUCCUGUCUGAAUAUGGGGGGACCAUCCUCCAAGGCUAAAUACUCCUGACUGACCGAUAGUGAACCAGUACCGUGAGGGAAAGGCGAAAAGAACCCCGGCGAGGGGAGUGAAACAGAACCUGAAACCGUGUACGUACAAGCAGUGGGAGCCUACUUGUUAGGUGACUGCGUACCUUUUGUAUAAUGGGUCAGCGACUUAUAUUCUGUAGCAAGGUUAACCGCAUAGGGGAGCCGCAGGGAAACCGAGUCUUAAUUGGGCGUUAAGUUGCAGGGUAUAGACCCGAAACCCGGUGAUCUAGCCAUGGGCAGGUU